AGGGAAGCUCCCCCUCCCAUUGACCCCAGACUGAGGGAAUCCCCCCUCUCUCCCUCCGGCGUACUACAAGUUCCCCAACCGCGCUCCGUCCCCCUCUGUCCUAUUCCGAGGUGCUCGUGCAAGGCACAGAGUGCGAGGAAGGGUUAACAGCGCGCGCUUAGCACCUCCUGACAGGCGGUAGUCCUGAAACCGGGCGAGUUGGAGGGAGCCCUCAGUCCAUCCUGCCGACGCCCCGCGCUGGGAGUGUAGUUACCUGGGCUUUCUUCUCUGAGAAACUACUCGCUACCGCAGCAACAGGCUGACUCUGUGGAGAGGGAGCCAAAACUUGGCCUUCUUAAGGCGCCCGCCCGCUCCAAACCGGAGCGCCAACUUUCGCAGAUUUCUUUAAUGAAGCAGUGUUGUCCAAUAGACAGAACGCUGGCUUUGGACACAGGAGACCUGAGAUUUGAAUUGACCAAUGGUUAGUUUGGGGCAAGUCACUGUUUUUCAGCCUGAGUCUUAUCUAUAAAAUUGGAUGUUAUUAACAUGCCUUAUCUUAAAACAAUUCUUAAAACAAUUUGGGGAUAUCUUUCCCCACAACAGAUUCCAGCCCUCAGGAAUUUAAGUAUGGUAUGUAAAGAAAAAUAAACAGAUUAUCUGAA